GUAAAAAAAUGUCAAUAGAAUGUUUUGCAGCGGUAGCUUGGGAGGCAAACGCACCACUAAGUGUUGAGAAGGUUAUAGUUGAGCCCCCAGCCAUUGGUCAAGUCA